GACGAACGCUGGCGGCGUGCUUAACACAUGCAAGUCGAGCGAUGAAGCUCCUUCGGGAGCGGAUUAGCGGCGGACGGGUGAGUAACACGUGGGUAACCUGCCUCAUAGAGGGGAAUAGCCUUUCGAAAGGAAGAUUAAUACCGCAUAAGAUUGUAGUGCCGCAUGGCAUAGCAAUUAAAGGAGUAAUCCGCUAUGAGAUGGACCCGCGUCGCAUUAGCUAGUUGGUGGGGUAAAGGCCUACCAAGGCGAUGAUCGAUAGCUGGUUUGAGAGGAUGAUCAGCCACACUGGGACUGAGACACGGCCCAGACUCCUACGGGAGGCAGCAGUGGGGAAUAUUGCACAAUGGGGGAAACCCUGAUGCAGCAACGCCGCGUGAGUGAUGACGGUCUUCGGAUUGUAAAGCUCUGUCUUCAGGGACGAUAAUGACGGUACCUGAGGAGGAAGCCACGGCUAACUACGUG
rnacentral:rRNA from 1 species